rnacentral:rRNA from 1 species
CCUACGGGCGGCAGCAGUGAGGAAUAUUGGUCAAUGGACGAGAGUCUGAACCAGCCAAGUCGCGUGAAGGAUGACUGCCCUAUGGGUUGUAAACCUCUUUUAUAUGGGAAUAAUACACGGUAUGCAUACACUCUUGUCUGUACCAUAUGAAUAAGGAUCGGCUAACUCCGUGCCAGCAGCCGCGGUAAUACGGAGGAUCCGAGCGUUAUCCGGAUUUAUUGGGUUUAAAGGGUGCGUAGGUGGCAUUUUAAGUCAGUUGUUAAAGUUUGCGGCUCAACCGUAAAAUUGCAAUUGAAACUGGCGGUCUUGAGUACAGUAGAGGUAGGCGGAAGACGUGGAGUAGCGGUGAAAUGCUUAGAUAUAACGAAGAACACCGAUUGCGAAGGCAGCUCACUGGACUGAGACUGACGCUGAUGCUCGAGAGUGUGGGUAUCGAACAGGAUUAGAUACCCUUGUAGUC